rnacentral:rRNA from 1 species
UACGUAGGGUGCAAGCGUUAAUCGGAAUUACUGGGCGUAAAGCGUGCGCAGGCGGUUUCGUAAGUCUGUCGUGAAAGCCCCGGGCUCAACCUGGGAAUGGCGAUGGAGACUGCGAGGCUAGAGUGUGUCAGAGGGGGGUAGAAUUCCACGUGUAGCAGUGAAAUGCGUAGAGAUGUGGAGGAACACCGAUGGCGAAGGCAGCCCCCUGGGAUAACACUGACGCUCAUGCACGAAAGCGUGGGGAGCAAACAGG